UCUCCUCCCCGCCGCCGCCCCUUCCCGAUCCAGUCCUCCGUCUCACCCCCCUCCUCUCCCCUCAACCAAGGACGACGGAGAUCCAGUCCUCUCCCCGCGCCGCAACCCUUCCUCCCACCCACCGCCGACGUCGCCGUCCUCCUCACCCACCGCCCACCUCGUCCCUCCCUCCCCUCACCAUCUCUUCCCACCCUCCGCCCUCUGCCCCCUGCCUCGAUCCCCCAGAUCCAAUUGACACAACCCCGCCGCCCCGCACCCCAUACUGUCCACCAUGGCCGCCUCCUCCUCCUCGCUCCGGAUCCCCGCACCAACCCACCACCCCGCCGUGGGGGCGCGUCCGCGGCUGCUGCCCUUCCACGCCAUCUCCGUCCGCCCCUGCCGCUCCGCAGUCUCCUCCGUCUCCGCCUCCUCCCCGCAGCAGGCGCCGACACAGGGCGACGGCGACGACGCCAAUGGGCCCACCGGCGUGCCCGUGCCUUUCUCCCGUGCCCUCCCCGGCGGUGGCGGCGGUUGGGCGAGCGGUGGAGGAGGUGUGUUCGGCACUAAACAAGCACGCUGACGUGGUGCCGGAGCUCUUCGGCCGCGUCUCCACCGAGCUCUGCGGCGGGUUCGGCCCCGCCGUCGACUCCUUCGUCGGCUUUUUCCACGCCGUCGACUGGAAGGCCGCUGAUGAGCGCGGACCAUCGAGAUCAAGGCCGCCGAGGGCCGCUGAUGAGCGCGGACCAUCGAGAUCAAGGCCGCCGAGGCAUUGGUGCCCCAUCAUCGAGUGCACGGAUGCAACAACAACAAGAAGAUCAUGGUCGUGCGUAUCAUCAAGCACACCAUGGAGAUCAUCCAUCUCACCGAUGCUAACUCAAUCCUGAUCACUGUCGACGCUAUCAUCCACAGGGGCCUCAAAUUUUUGGAGAUGGCCCUGGUUCUCUUGCAGGGAUAUGAUGAUAUUUCCAAGGAAAUAUACUGAACCUGAUGUGACAAAGGGUUGUUUGGACCUGGGAAUUUUAAUGCUGGGUUGAUGAGUUCAUUUGGCUGACCUACAAUAUGGACAUGGGAUUGGCUGUGUGGUUUGAUGAUGUUGCACUCGUUGGUGCCAUCUUAUGAGUAUGGUGAUGAUCCUAAGUAAUUGGUUGUGUUAUUUUGGUUGGUACUAUCUUAUAAACAUGUGGUGUAAUGAUACUACUGGGACAAAGUUGGCGAAAUCCUGUGUUGUUUGUUUAUUCUGUUGUGUUAUUUCGAGAUUCUGUGGCGUAAUGGUACUGUUGUGUUAUUUUGAGAAUUAUAUUAUUAUUAUCAUUA